rfam:Mus musculus chromosome 18, GRC primary reference assembly.
ACAUAGGUUUUUUUCAAAACCAUAAUGAAAUUGUAUUAUGUAUAGU